GACGAACGCUGGCGGCGUGCCUAAUACAUGCAAGUAGAACGCUGAAGAGAGGAGCUUGCUCUUCUUGGCUGAGUUGCGAACGGGUGAGUAACGCGUAGGUAACCUGCCUGGUAGCGGGGGAUAACUAUUGGAAACGAUAGCUAAUACCGCAUAAAAUGGAUUAUCGCAUGAUAAUCCAUUGAAAGGUGCAAAUGCCUCACUACCAGAUGGACCUUCGUUGUAUUAGCUAGUUGGUGGGGUAACGGCUCACCAAGGCGACGAUACAUAGCCGACCGGAGAGGGUGAUAGUCCAUGCUGAGAAUGAGACACGGCCCAGACUCAUACAGGAGGCAGCAGUAGGGAAUCUUCGGAGAUGGACGGAAGUCUGACCGAGAAACGCCGAGUGAGUGAAGAAGAUCUUCGGAUCGUAGAGCUCUGUUGUAAGAGAAGAACGAGUGUGAGGGUGGAAAGUUCACACUGUGACGGUAUCUUACCAGAAAGGGACGGCUAACUACGUG
rnacentral:rRNA from 1 species